rnacentral:rRNA from 1 species
AAAACAUGUCUUUUUGUAUUAAAUGUAAAGUCUAACCUGCCCACUGAAUUUUAAAUGGCCGCAGUAUACUAACUGUGCAAAGGUAGCAUAAUCAUUAGUCUUUUAAUUGAAGGCUGGUAUGAAUGGUUGGACGAUAUAUUAACUGUUUCAUUUAAAUUUUUAUUAGAAUUUUAUUUUUUAGUCAAAAAGCUAAAAUUUAUUUAAAAGACGAGAAGACCCUAUAAAUCUUUAUAUUUUAUUUAUAUUAAUUAAUUAGAUUUUUAUUAUUUUUAUAAAUUAAAGUAUUUUAUUGGGGUGAUAUUAAAAUUUAAGGACCUUUUAAUUUUUUAAAAACAUUAAUUUAUGAUUAGUUGAUCCGUUAAUAACGAUUAAAAAUUUAAGUUACUUUAGGGAUAACAGCGUAAUUUUUUUGGAGAGUUCAUAUCGAUAAAAAAGAUUGCGACCUCGAUGUUGGAUUAAGAUAUAAGUUUAGGCGCAGUAGUUUAAAUUUUAAGUCUGUUCGACUUUUAAUUUCUU